GGAAGAGGUACCUGAAUGGGAAAAUAUAGAAAAUUUAUAUGAAAAAAAAUUAAUGGCUACAGGACAAAAAGUUUCAAGUAUCAUUGAGAAAAUUAAUGCGAUGAAAACAGAAAUUUCCAAAACUAAAACACCAAAAUCUUCAAGUUCAUCAGAUAAAAAAAAAAGAUCUGAAAAAUCUUUCUACAAAAAUAAAAUACAAAGAACAAGAUAUAUAUACAAAUA